ACUACGGUAAAACGCGUCGACAUUGUUUCGUCCGGGACGACGUCAAUCACCGUUCGCCGGCCACCGGUCCGAGUGUGUGUGCCGACGAAUCACGCCGCCAAACACAAUGGAUUCAUUAUGGCGUUCGUGGAAAUCGUAAUUAUAAUAAUAAUAAUAAUAAUAAUAUCGAAUUCAAAGGUCGCCGCGGCCGAUCGCAAUUGUGUUUAAAGCGCGUGUUUUUUAAGGGGAAAACGGCCGUGAUGAGGCAUCGCCGGUCCAUAAUAUAAUAUAAUAGAUUGUUGGAUGUUGUACGAAAAAAAUCGAACGGCUAAACAACAAUAGUUCGCUCAGCAUCGUUUUAAAAUGCCAAUAACAAAACGACCGAUGAACGCCGUGCGCGUGUUAUGCCACGUUUUAUUGUAUAAUAAUCGCCCUGGCUCUGGUCAACAAGCGUCUGUAUUAUACGGUUGUUAUCAGAAAUUAUUAUAAUUUUUAUUUUCGAGCAGUGCGAUGGAUUUUAAAAUUACUGCUUAAAUCAAAUCAAAAAAAAAAAAAAACUUUUCACUAUAGUUGUAGUUCUAGAGACAUCACUAAUGCGAUCAUUCAAAGGAAACGGGGACGGAAGGACGAUGGCAGGAUUAUAAAUAAUUAAUUACGCUUAAUAUUUAUCAAAUAAACAUAACGUGUGGGCAUAAGAGGUAAUGAGUAGGCGAUGACAAAAAGGUGACUCUUAAAUUUUUCGAUUUUCGAUUGUCAACAUUUCAAGCCGAUAUUCUCACGGUCGUCAACGUAAUUGGUUUGUCUACCUUUGUGGGAUUCGUCAAGCAAGGCCUAAAGUAAAGUAAAUGUGAAGUAUGCAAUGUUGAUACCGGAUCUCAAGUUAUAAAGCUUUUAAUAAUAUUGAGUAAAUUAACGAAAAUACAGUAUUUGUUGGAGCUAAAAAAUAAUUAUUAAUUUCAUGGAUAUUCAACACGUCACGUGUUUACGCGUUAAAAAAAAUAAAUAAAAAACAAUACAUAUCUAAUUCAGGACACGGAGGCAAUUUGAGAUGCAGACAAUAUGCAUAUUGUCAUAUCGUAUAUUAGAAGUAUAUCCAAAAAUGGGUGUAUACAUUUAUGUAAGCUCAUCAUAAUAUGUAAAAUAGAUAUAAAUGGACGCAAUAUUUUGACGUUUAUGUAACGUUUUUCAGAAAUUGUUUUCAAAUCUUAAAUUCUUUUUUUUACAUCA